rnacentral:rRNA from 1 species
UACGGAGGAUCCGAGCGUUAUCCGGAUUUAUUGGGUUUAAAGGGAGCGUAGGUGGAUUGUUAAGUCAGUUGUGAAAGUUUGCGGCUCAACCGUAAAAUUGCAGUUGAAACUGGCAGUCUUGAGUACAGUAGAGGUGGGCGGAAUUCGUGGUGUAGCGGUGAAAUGCUUAGAUAUCACGAAGAACUCCGAUUGCGAAGGCAGCUUUCCAAGCUAUUACUGACGCUGAGGCACGAAAGCGUGGGGAGCGAACAGG